rnacentral:rRNA from 1 species
AUUGAACGCUGGCGGCAUGCCUUACACAUGCAAGUCGAACGGUAACAGGUUAAGCUGACGAGUGGCGAAUGGGUGAGUAAUAUAUCGGAACGUGCCCAGUCGUGGGGGAUAACGUAGCGAAAGCUACGCUAAUACCGCAUACGAUCUACGGAUGAAAGCGGGGGAUCGCAAGACCUCGCGCGAUUGGAGCGGCCGAUAUCAGAUUAGGUUGUUGGUGAGGUAAAAGCUCACCAAGCCUGCGAUCUGUAGCUGGUCUGAGAGGACGACCAGCCACACUGGAACGGAGACACGGUCCAGACUCCUACGGGAGGCAGCAGUGGGGAAUUUUGGACAAUGGACGCAAGUCUGAUCCAGCAAUGCCGCGUGCAGGACGAAGGCCAUCGGGUUGUAAACUGCUUUUGUACGGAACGAAACGGUGAGCUCUAAUACAGUUUGCUAAUGACGGUACCGUAAGAAUAAGCACCGGCUAACUACGUGCCAGCAGCCGCCGUAA